CUCCCUCACCCCCACCUGCACCAGUGAAUGAUGGGGCAUCUACAUCCAAUGCUGCCCAGGGAGCGACUGCUCCGGUAACAAGGCCAAAGACAAAGAAAACCAGGCCAGCGAUGGAGGACUGGGAUGCCUGGGAUGAGUCAGCUGACGAGGCACUCAUAUGCCCUGUGCGCACAGUAGCCACCACCGACGGCGUGUCUGUGCUUUACCAACCAGCUAAAACUGAUAACACCCUCUAUGCUACUGCCUUGCUUGAAGAACACAUCAAAAUUGAAUUCUUGAUUGAUACUGGUGCUAAACUUACAGUCUUUUCAUCCUACCUAUUGGAGAAACACAAAAUACCUCUGUCAGGCAUCAUCAAGACAGCUGGUGGACCAACUGGAGAAAAAUUCAGUCUGAAGCAGACAGCCCCAGUCACCAUAGCCAUUGGAGAAGGAGAUGGAGAAGUCUUGUGGAACCUGAGAAGGCUAAAAAGAGAGGAUCUCCUGGAACAUCCUGCAUGGGCUAAGGGAAGGAAUGACUGUGGACUGUUGGAAAUGGAACCUGUCAGACUGACUGGAAAACCACCUCCGUGUGUGAAACAAUGUCCCAUCAAGAACGGACAGAUUGUGGCAGAAUUGUUGGAUGCAAUGCAGCUGCCAAAGGAACUGGCAGUGAUCAAAGUAAAGGCACAUACAAGGCAAUACACCAUUAAAGCAAGAGGCAAUGCAAUGGUGGAUGCAGUGUCAAGAACAGCCGCAAGAAAAAGAGAGGGAGGAGAUAACGAAACGACUAAUGAGAAUGGACACGGAAAUGGAAACACGGACGGAUCUAACGGUAACAGGAACAUUUUUGAAAAUGACAACGAGAAAUGCAUGAUGAGAGUGACAAAGAAGCCGAGAAGAAAAAUGGACUUGGAUUGAAAAUGCGGCGAAGCUCCAUGAUGACAACUUGUGGAGGUUUGGAACACGAACAGUGGCUC